rnacentral:rRNA from 1 species
GACGAACGCUGGCGGCGUGCCUAAUACAUGCAAGUCGAACGAACUCUGGUAUUGAUUGGUGCUUGCAUCAUGAUUUACAUUUGAGUGAGUGGCGAACUGGUGAGUAACACGUGGGAGACCUGCCCAGAAGCGGGGGAUAACACCUGGAAACAGAUGCUAAUACCGCAUAACAACUUGGACCGCAUGGUCAGAGCUUGAAAGAUGGCUUCGGCUAUCACGUUUGGAUGGUCCCGCGGCGUAUUAGCUAGAUGGUGGGGUAACGGCUCACCAUGGCAAUGAUACGUAGCCGACCUGAGAGGGUAAUCGGCCACAUUGGGACUGAGACACGGCCCAAACUCCUACGGGAGGCAGCAGUAGGGAAUCUUCCACAAUGGACGAAAGUCUGAUGGAGCAACGCCGCGUGAGUGAAGAAGGGUUUCGGCUCGUAAAACUCUGUUGUUAAAGAAGAACAUAUCUGAGAGUAACUGUUCAGGUAUUGACGGUAUUUAACCAGAAAGCCACGGCUAACUACGUGCCAGCAGCCGCGGUAA